rfam:Schistosoma haematobium scaffold40_55, whole genome shotgun sequence.
UUCAGCUGACGAGUCCCAAAUAGGACGAACUGCGAGUCCUGGAA